CUGCUGCCCAAGUAGACGCUGUAUACAGCAGCAGCAGUAAGAGCAGAAUUAGCUGUCUUCAGUGUGCAGAGAGCCCAGCAGGGCAACUGAGUCCCACAGCCCCAACCUUCCUCAUCACAGCUGACUGCUGCACUAAUUUACGUACAACAGCGCUAUUAUUGCAACGACUUUGUAGUACAAGGGAAACUGGACACAUGUCCAGAAUUCUCCUUGGUAUACCACUGGGGCCAGCUGUGGCUGCUCUGACUUUCUGGGGCUACAUACCGGCUUGGUCAUCUCUGUAAGGCAUCUGGUGGACUGUGCAUGGAAGGAGCACUGUCAGAGAAAUUAAUGAAGGAGCACUGAAGAAGCCCUUUAAAUACAAAGAUAUUGGGACUCAAGGAAUGCACUAUCUCUACUGUCCCUUCACAUAGCCAGUUGUACUCACUUGCAAAAGGAGAGCAAGAUUCACAAGUACAUUUACGCUGCUAUGCACUGUUCUGGCUAUGUGAAGCAACUGUAAGCUUGGCUAAGCUGUCCUCUGGCUGCCUUUUGCCACUUGGAAGGACAGGCCAAUUUGUCCUUAGAAAUUAAAAAUAUAGAAAUGUUUUAAGAGUGACACUGCAUCCUUUCAGUUCAGAAGUAUCACAAGCUAGCAGUCUUUUUGGACUUUUGUUCGGUGUUUGCAUAUGGAAUUUGUAACAAUUAUUAUUAAACAAAACAAAAAACUGCGGAAAUUCCCAGACAAGAAAUUACAUUUUGAAGGAGUUAAAAUUGUGUAUACAUACCAGGAUAAAAAACAUUGUAAAAUUAUUGUAACCACAAACAAAACAAGCAUGAUAAAACAGGAUAUUCAGCAUUAAGGUUAAACUGAAAAGCAAUCCAAACAUACGCAAGUAAGAAAUGGAAAGCCACUGCACAUAAACUACCUUCACCAUGAGCUGUGGUGAUGCGCAAAAGAAAAACAUGGGAAAAAAAUCUUGUGUGUCUUUAUAUUCAGUCUAAUCAGUCUAGAACCACAGACGCUAACAUGCCUGAAUCAUAAUUGUAGGCUAUCACAUGACAUCACUACAGGGCAUAGUUAGUUAAGACUAUUUAAGUUCCUUAAUUUUGCAUUUCUUGCCUUAAUAUGUUUGGGUUUCCUUUGAGUGUAAACUUAAUCUUAACUGUACUAGGGCUGUCAUUCUUGAUCUGGAGAUACUUAUAAUAUCACUGUAGUGUGUUUUUGGUUGUUUUUUAAAGAUCAGUACCUCAGUCUUAGCUCCAUUAUGGCUUGGAAGCUAUUGCCAUGUCUAGCAUCAACAACAGCAUCAAGUCUGUCUUAAAGACAUUUAUUAUCAUAAAAUGGUCACCUCCUACCAGAAGGCAGCUCUGUGUCUGGGGCAGCAGUGAUGCACGGGGCAGUGCUGGCUGCUGCGGCACUGAUAGUGGUAGCAUGCAUGGUCAGCUGCUUAUUUUUGUGCCAGCCUAUUUUUGUGCCCCUCCUCCAACAAAUGCAACACCCAGGGCUAAUGCUCCUGGUCACCCCCCCUGCCUGAGUUAUACUACUACCUCCCACAUUCAAGCACAUUUCUUCCCCUUCCCCUCCCCCAGCUCUGCAUUUGUAUCUCUUAGAGAGGGGUCAGACUCCCAACAAAGCUGAAAGCUGAGCUUAAAGGAAGAAGGCCAGGGCUUAGCCAACUCUCCUAAGGAGUUGGCAACAAUUUAGUGAAUAUGUUUGUCCCAAUAUAUGAAUAUCAAUUUGUUUUGUAAAGAUCAUUAUAAUGAAAAUAGUCCCCAUGACUUAGAUCAUCCAUCAGUUGGCAGGGACUUGGCGCUGAACAGAGAUACUAUAUCUGGGGUCAUUGGGGCAUCAGAGAGAUACUAACAAUUGAAAAGCGCUGUGGAAGUAGCAUAGCUUUUUGGAGGCUGCUACUGUAAGAAUUACUGACUUUUAAUGACUCUCUGCCCCCAGCUGGGUUGGAACAUGGACAAUUUCCUGUGGAAAGAAAGGAAAGAGAAAAGUAUUGGGCUUUUUUGAAGAGGAUUUCUGAUGACCGUCCACUGCUGGAACCAGAAGUCCCAGCUGGAAGAGUGGGACCAAGGAUGGACCUGACCUCCCUGCAGGACUUAAAACCAACCUAGAGAAUUUCAACAGUGGGCGAAAUGAGAAGAAGGCAGGGGCAGGGCAGAGGUGCCUUCAAGAAUGUGGUCUUGUGCCUGAAUCUGCAACUCUCUUGGGCUGUCCAGAAAGAAAGUGUCUGUGUUUAAGCAGUUCUUUUGCAACCCUGAUUUUACCUGUCAUGAGUAAAUUAUAAAUCUCUUAAAUUUAAGAGUUAAAUUAUAAAUCUCCCCCCAGCUGGAUAGACUGUGUGGGCACAUCCAGACAAGCGUGCACAUGUGAUGCCUCAGACCAGUCUAUGGCACCACACACUGAACAUGUUGCACAUGCAGGCAUUCGGUGCGCUGCUGAUUUGCAGUGUGGUGUUUUUUUUUUAAAAACUGGGAGGUCCCAGUGUCAAAAAAACCCCAUGCUAUAAAAAAGCAGGGUGGUGCAUGUGAUGCCAGUGUGUGCGUCCAAAACUGGAGCCUGGCUGGCCAAAGCCACACUCCAGCUGCCAGCCAGGCUCCCUGCUGCCAGAUUGCUGCAGCUGGAAUCCCGGGAUACCCCCAGGACCCCAGGCAAGGCUGCUGGAGCCAGGCCAGGUGCUGGCCCCAGACUCCCCUACCAUACCCAGGGCAACUUACCAUGCGCCAGAGUGCAUGUACACAGGCAUUCCCUGAGGACAAAUAGCAGCAGCAAAACUAUGUGCCCCUGCUACUUGUCCCCAGGGAAACUCAGGUGUGCACUUUUCUGGACAUGCCCCAUGAGGGCUAAGGCACUACUUUGCAGUGUUUAGACAGCUGCCCUGCAGGGUUUAACUAUGAAGGAGGAUGUUCAUUAUUGGGUCUACACCAGGGGAAUGUAUUCAGGAGACCCCAUGUGUCAGUCACUGUGAUUAGACACUGUCAGACACAGCUGAGUUCGAAAAGCUACUGGCAUCCAAAUAUUGGGUCUGGUUAUCACAGUAACUAUCCACGAGAGGGGCUCAGUCAGGGCUAAUACAGGCCCCAAUUUCAUUGCUGCACCAAGAAGCACUUCUCCCCCUCUCUUGCAAUUCCCACUCUGUUCUAACUGUAUGCAAAUGCCAUUCUAAUAUGAACUGUUUGGCUGUGUCCAGAUGAGCAUGGCCGUGCGGUAUGUGGCACUGUAGAUGCAUCUGUGGCGCCAAACGCUGCACAUUCAUAUGUUUUCCAUGCUGUAAAGUAGCAGCAUGGGCACAGUACUGGCCCCAGCCCCCCCCUACUCCACCCAGGGUAACCUGCUGUGUACCAGGGUGCGUGGCACAGGCAUUCCCCAGGGACAAGUAGCAGUGGCACAAGGUGUGCUCCUGGUACUUGACCCCGGAGAAACAAACAUCCAUACUCAUGUGAAUGUGGCCUGUGAGGCCAUCACUAGGACAUCAUGAUUCUUGCCCAGUAGGGGCCUUGUAAAUAAGGGUCAGCACUUUAAGUUAGACUGCAGACUGGACAGGGUGCCACAGUAGAGUGGGAAGCUUUGCUAUAUUAUUGCAGGUUACUGUAUACAGUAUUCAUGAAAGCAAGUGUCUAGGGGGACUGGCUGGCACUGGACAUAGCACAACUUGUACUGGGCAAGCUUCCCCUGCAAAAUCUCUCUUGGCAUGCCUAAGCCCUGACCUGUAGUGCUUUGACAAUUAUAGUGACAGUUCUGAGCCAGCAACAUUUAUUGGUUUGUGGAAGAGGAAACAAAGAUGUGAUAUCCUUG